rnacentral:misc_RNA from 1 species
AGCUUCAACAAGCAAUUUCUGAACUUGAAAGUCGUAGUGCUAUAUCUUGGAAUCUGAAAUGGAUACAGCUUGAAGAACAUUUUCAUGGGCUCGAGAAGUCACUUAAGAAAAGAUUUAAUGAGUUGGAAGGUCAGGAGAAUGAAUAUGUAGCCAAGGUCUCCGAGACGCAGGUUAUGUUGGAGAAGGAAGAAGCUGUUGUUG